rnacentral:lncRNA from 1 species
CUACAAUACUGUCUUCGUUAUUUUAUAGUACAGAACACUGAUUAUUGCUUUCAUUUUAUGGAUCAAUGGUCUUGUUAGAUAGUAAAAUUCAUGUUAAACUGCUGCUUUAGGGGUUGUUUUUAAAAGUCUGGAACGGAUUAAUCUGUUUUCCCUUGCUUUCUAUGGGAAAGUGCACCUUGGUUUUGGAACACUUUGGUUUUGAACAGACUUCCAGAACCGAUUAAGUUUGAGAACCAAGGUAUCACUGUAUACACUAUGUGAAGAAGUACUUUCUUAUAAAUGUAACAAAAUGAAUGACAGGGCUCACUGAGCCUCAUCCGGUUGGACCACAGAAGUUUGUCAAAGUGGCAAUGGAGGGAAUCAAAUGAACCCAUAAUCUGGAGGAAGCCCUUCCCCCUCACCCAAGCCAACCAUCCCAUCUGGUGGGACACAGAGAAGGGCCUCUCCACCAGAUUUUAGGGAGCAGCAGGUUGCCACAGGAAGUUAAAUAUUUAAUCUUCAGUUUUAUACAGAUAUAUUUUUCUCCCGCCAGUUACAUAUUGAUACAAUAUAUUCAGAGCAGAUGGGGAGGAAGUGAUCUGUCAAUGUAAGCUUCAGCAUGUGAUUGUCCAAAGGAAAGCUUUCAAAAAGUUGUUCUUAGAAUUCCUAAUUGGAUGGGGUAUAUUGAUUGACAGUAGCUCAUAGAGGUGAAAUGAAGGAGACACCUCAAAAUGAGAUAUAUCUAUAUGGAAAGCGGGAUUCAAUCUGCCCUAAUAAGCAUUGAAUUAUGCACUGGGCAUUGAAUUUAUUUAACUUUUUCAGAGCCUAAUUUGGACAUACAGUUCAGUAGAGUAACUUAUGAAUUCAGUAUGGUUUAUUUCAUCAAUAUUAAAAGAAAAGGGAGGAAAGGCAAAUUAAGACAGUGCUGUCCCACUAAUAUGUGAGGGUGAUUUAUUUAUUUUUUUAAUGUCACAAAUGAUCUCUAGCAUAUGGGAAAAGCACUGCUUAUAUUUCUUACAGAAAAAUGAGCACGGGUCCAGGAUCAAUUUUCAAAUUUAAUUUAGAAAACAAUUACGACAGAAACAUAUGUUAACAUUAUCCAGACUUUUGCUAAGCCACGGGUAUCUGCACAACACCUUUCCCUCUCCCAAAGUAAUAAAGAUCUGCCACUCUCUUCUAUGUAACAGCUAGCUUGUGCUUCCUUUCCCCCACGCUUUCAGGGAUUAUCUGCAUCUGGGCUGAGAAGAUAACUCAUUUCCCCUUCAGAAUGUACAUCGCUCCACUGGGGAAAUUUAUGUAUCCCUAGCUUAGAUGUGGAGAAGAGUAGCACCAGUUGCUUCUCCAUAUCUGAUGCAGCCACAUCUUGUUCCUGUUUCUGCAUGUCAUGUGUUGAACCCAACAUACGUCAACUGUACUGAGUUACCUUGUUCCCACAAGUGGCAGUCACUGAAGGAGAGAGAGCAGAGAUGAGAAACUCACAAUGAGAUAGCAUGUCAUACGUUAACUCAGUGUUACAGAAGGAGGAGGCAUGAAGCUGCCCAGCCCUUAGUACCAGCACCAUUUGAGCCUUACUACAGACACUCAAACUCUAUUCCACCGUUUUGGCAUUUCACUUCCUGAAGAUGAUGAAACGGUAGCUUGGCAAACCCUUCUGGCAGUCAGUUUCCCCCACAGAUCUUAUUGCAAAGUUCAUGUAGGAAGGUCCUUCCACCUUCAAUUAUGCCAGCUCUUUCUUUUUAUAUUAGACUAUUCAGUUGAGUGCCUUUUUCAGUAUUUUGGUAUCCUAGAUCUCAUCUCAAUGCUUCCAUUAAGUAUCUGUACCAGGGUGGCCUAAUUAUCUUCAUUGGACAAAAUAUAAAGCUAUGUAAAAUACCCUUUCAGUCUUUUUAAUUUGCUUCUCCUCCUAUUUUCAAUGAUUGUUUCCCCCCCAAUCAUAGAUCUUCUUGGCUGGAGAGGUCUGGUUAGAUCUCUGAACCUCAUGGCAAUUCCUUCUUCCUUAGAUGCUUUGUCAUUGCUGGGUGUGCAAUUUAGCAUUCAACUACACAUGGGCAGUGGGAAGGGAAAUUGUCAAAGUUAAAUGGACAUUUUUCCCCAAACCCUUCUUAUUACUCCUGUUCCCAGGUGUACUUCUUCAUUAUAAGACCAGUUGGAGCAAUGGCAAGUUUUCAGUUCUUUUACAUUCACAUCAUUACUGAAACUAUUUUCAUAUUUGUUUCUCUACCUAAAUCCUUAUGCUUUCUUUGCAGCCUCAUUGUAUUCAUUUCUGAUAAUGUUUCACCAUCCUUUGACAUCACACUUCUCUAAAUGGUUGCUUAGAAUCUGGUUGAACACUUGCAGGGUUUCCCAGUCUUUCAUUGGGUUCUGAAUCUGAUUACAUUUCCCCUCCUUUUCCUGCCACUUUUACAUCUUUCGUUUUUCUCCAAUGAGGCCAGUGUCAUCUGUUGAUCUCAUCCAAACACUGCCACAAUGAAAUCUGUAUGAUGCUGCAAUUGAUUCCUCGUCUUAUUAAUAAAAAGAAAGUUAAUCACAUUUCUGGCUCUGCACUGUGGGAAAAUCCAGGAAAUUGUCUCCAUGCAUUUGUUUGCAUAAAAAUGUAUUUGCAACAACUAAAUUAAUUUUUGCACCAAAAAGUGAGGAGCUUUUAAUCUUUCUCACUUUCUUGCUAAAAAAGCAUCCCAAAAUACAUGCAGAGCGAUACCGUACAUUAAGAAACCUUUGUUAAAAUGAGAAUUAGUUUGAUAGUUUAUUCAAAACUUGAAGGCAGUAAGUUCUUACAUAUACCUGAAAUCAAAGCUCCAGCAAUCUUGUUUAGCAAUGAAAUUCUGAAAUGAAGUAGGUGGAAAAGCUUUAAAUGAGGUUAGCACCAGACUGAAGAAACAAUACACAGUUGGGAAAGAACUCUAGUUAAAGAUAUGCUAUAGUCACAUAUGGCUCAUAGACCUACGGAAUAUAAUUAUAAAGAGAAUCUUGCCUCUGUCCUUCAGGCAGGACAAGAACAAAUAUCAGAGUUUAUUAGGUUUAAAGUCUAGGAUUUGGACAAAGUAGAGGGAUAUUUGCCCAAAAUCACAAGGAUAUUUGCCCAAAAUCCUCUGGGGCAAUGCUGCUCCUGACUAUAAGUCUGGGGAUUUAAGAGAAUUGUAAAGGAUAGUUAUAAACACUGCAACUGUCUUAGGUAACUGUUCUAAUCUCAAGAAACAAUAAAUGUUGAGGUAGAAGGAGAUUUGAAAGAAUCUCAUUACAAAUCCAGACCUGGUACAUCCAAUAUUAGAAUCCCUUCAUUAUAUUAUCCAGCUUAUUUAGUUGCCAUAAAUGGCAAGAAGAAAUACAGGAAUAUUUAACAAUAAAUUAGCAGCAUUUCCUUUUUUAAAAAAGCAUGACUACUUGAGCUCAGUGCAAUAUUUAAUAAAACUACUGCAACACUGAAGCUUCAAUAUGCUAUAAAAUAUACUUUAGACAAAAACAUAUUAAAAUAAACAAUAUGCCUGCAGUGAUAAAUACUUGGGGAAUUUCAUAAGUGCCAGUAUAUGGGCAUUUCUAUCUAAUCUAGUCUAGUCUAAGCAGAUAUAUAUAAUAUUUGAUGUCUUUCUUUAUAUAAACCUCUGUUGAUUAAUUCUUUCACUUAUCUCAUGCAAUUUCCUAGCCAUACUAUUUCAAACUAUUUUACUGUUAUUGGUUUUGUGACCUGGAUGUGGAUUUUUAAUUUUUGUUGCUCCUUUCCAAGUAUGUCAUCAAACUGCAAUGUUUGUUGCCUGAUAUUAUGCUGGGUAAAAUAUCCAUCAUUUUAGGAACCAAGAUCUUUCAGCCUCUUCUCUUUCCAUUUGCUUGGAAGACUUGUGAUUAUGUUCAGGGAAAAUACAAAGAAAGUGGUUCAAUACAGCAUUCCUCUGUCAGUUUCAUUACUCCAAUGUCUUGAUGGUUAUUAGAAGAAUGGCACAAUCCUAACACAGGAUUUGCUGGGAUAAGCAGUUUAAGAUCUCUGGUCAAGAUGGAGCUCUGGUCUAGAUGGCUGAUUGCAGCUCAGCUGGGAUACAGUCAGUUAAAUUGAAGCUGGUUGAGCUGAGGCCCAUGUAAGACCUCAAAAACGGGUGCGGUGGGGAUAGGACUGGAGUGGAAGCUCUUAGGCUAGAUUCUAAGCCCAUUCAUCUUGGCCACGGGACCUGCCUUUUAGGGCUGGGGAUCUCCCUACCCAUAGUAACAAUGCCUUGUUUGGAUUCAACCUCAGCUUGUUGCCCACAUGGUGUCCUCUUUUCAUCACAGGCUCUCUUGCCUGCCAAUGUUUUUUGCAAGAACUGGUAAGAACUUGGGACAUAGAAUAUCCUCUCCUCUUCUGAAGUACUGAAAUUUUAAGAUCCAGAUUUCCUACCAAGAAAUGUUUAAGAACUACUGUUGUUUAUCCUAGGCUAUAUGUUUUGAUAUGUAUGUGUUGUUGAAAAUAUGUUUGUUAAUAAAAACAGAAAGAUUAUUUUGUGUCUUAAUUAUUGCAUACUAAGUCAGUAUUGGACCCACAACCAUUUUCGUUGUAUGCUUUGUUGAAACAUAUUAAUCAACCACUGGCAAAUUGGAAGCCCAAGGCUUCUUAACAACUGGCACUACUGAUAACACUGACAAAGUAAAAAAUUGUCCAGUAGCACCUUAGAGACCAACUAAGUUUGUUCUGGGUAUAAGCUUUUGUGUGCAUGGACAAUUUUUUAAUUUAGUUCGACUGCGUCAGACCAACACAGCUACCUACCUGAACUGACAAAGUAGAAAUUCAUGACAAGAUGGCACUUUCCAAUAUCAAAUUCCCUGCUGAAUCUAUGUCUGCAUUGCUGGGUGUGCAAUUUAGCAUUUAACUACACAUGGGCAGUGGGAAGGAAAAUUGUCAAAGUUAAAUGGGCAUUUGUACAACCAUUCUGAGACAACAUACCAUUUGGACUUUGCUGGUCUCCAUGAACCCAUUUCUCCAGCUGGCCUAAGUAGGGAUUAGCACAGUCCUCAUACUCUACUGGCAUCCUGCUGGAAGAACUAUUGUUCAACAUGUGCUUCACAGUGACACAUUCUGACAAUUAUUUUUUAAAAUCUGCAUAUGCACAAUACCUUUAAAACACCUUCAAAGUACAGUCUUUCCCUCAAAAAAAUCUGGGAACAGCAAUUUACAGCUCACAGAGCAACAAUUUCUAGCAACCCUUAACAAGCUAAAGUGCCCAGAAUUAUUUGAUGGGGGGAAGGUGCUUUGAGUGUGCAAAUAAUUUCCAGUGUCCCUCUAUGGCAAAGUGGUACAUUAUUCUUUGUACUUUAUGUAUUUCACAACUGAUUUGCAUUCUUCUGUGAUCCUGCUGUGCCUCUGUUGUGUUUCAUUGAUGAAAAGUGGUCUCAGCUGUAUCCUAUUAGAAUGAGCCCCAGCAUCCCACCAGGAAGCUGGAAGAUGCUAGCAAAUGAUUGUUUACUGGAUCUGCUGAAACUGUUCUCCACUGAGUUUCUCCUGUCAUUUAAAAACAAAAAAGAAUUGGAUAAACUCAUAAAGGAUUAUAAUGGCUGGUGGCCAUGAUAUGGAACCUCUAAAUUCAGAGACAAUGUAACGUAAUUGCCAGAGGUUGGUUACAAACAACAAAAGACAACCAUCUGGUAUUAUCCACUGCAGUUUCUUGCUGACAUUGCUAAAGACAGAAUUAACAGAAUUACGGGUUGGGUGGCCUGCUAUGAAGUUGCAUUACAGAGUGUGAACUAAUAUAGCAGUUCUUAGGUUUCACUGUUCUUCAUAUUCCUAAGACUGCCUCUUGAUUUCUCAGUCUAUCCACUCUUAUCUGUACAUAUAUGGAUAUGAUUAUAAUGCCAGCUAGGAUUUCCUCUUGUGCCUACAAACUGACCUUGUCUUCAGGUCCUAGAUGCUCCAUCAUCUCACUGGGAGAGAUCCAUCUUCCGAAAAAGACAGUAACAGCAUAGAGCAUCCUAGCAGCACGUCUGGCAAAGGACUAGAAGCAACUCAGCUGUAAUAUUGCCUUAGCUGUACAGCCUGAGCUGCACACCUGCAAUAUGGAAAUAAUAAAUGUCCCAACUUACCAAGUUGUUGGAAAUAAUGUACUACUGAGACAGUGUAUAAGAGAUGAUUUCAACACUUUGGGAAAAUAACUACGUGAAUACUGAUUCAUACUAUUACUAGAUAAAUGGUAGUCUUUAUGAUGGCUGGGGGGAAAGAGGUAGCGGAGGGAAAGCCCUAUGGACUGCAACAUGCAAUCUCCAUGUGUUCUGCACAUAGAGCAACUUGUAGGCCUCCCCAUAAAGUCCCUGUUAUUACACUGAGCCUCCCACUGUUUAAAGUGAGGGCUGCAUUUUUCCACACUGCAACAUCAUCCCUUAGUGUGGUGUGUUAUUUUUACCAUACAAUCAGCUACAUAGGAGAAAGGAAAGAAGGACACUACUGGAAUUGUCUAGCAGAUUUUGUUCCCUUUCAACUGCCUGUUUGCUUGGCUCCAUAGAAUUAAAUGGGAACCCAGAAAACUGAGCCAGCUCUUAACCUGCUCCUUUAACUACAUAGCCUCAUCAAACUCUGAGUGAGACUGAAUCCUAGCAACUAGUUUUUGUGUAUGUUCACCUCAAGUCAGCUAUAGCAUGAACAACAAGUAUGACUUUGAAUGACAGUUUCUGGGAAUCACAAGUGGGGAGAGUAGUGUUGCGCUCAGGUCUUGCUUCUGGGUUUCCCAGAAGAUGCAGCUGGUUGGCCACUUAGCAUGGGCUCUUAUUAUGCUUUUAUGCAUGUUACAACUAGUAGAUCCUCUUAUCAAAAGGCACAUACAAUAGGAAGUGGAUAAAUGUCAUGACAUGGGUUUAAAUCAGAAUCACAUCUGGAACUACAGCUCAAGCAGAGGCAAGCUUCCAUGCACUUUUGUUAGCGAACCACUCACUAUUAGAAGCAGUUGAUGGUGACGCCUUUUUAUAUUAACCACAUUCCUCUUUCUACCUUUGCAGCUUUAAUCUAACAUUUUUCCUUCAGUGCUUCCAAAAUGGAUAGGAAGCAGUGAAUUUUGAUGAUGCAGUACUCUUGCGAAAGUAAUGAGGUUGGUCUGAGUUAAGCAGUGGUAGAUAUAGCAUGUGACAGAAACUGAAUAGUAGUAUUUAUUAACCCAUCCAUCUUCAAGCUAAUCCAGGGUGAAAAGCCCCUUCAUUACUCCUUGUACUUCAUUGAGAAAAGGCUUGGCUGUAACCCUGCCACACUUGACGCACAGUAAUUUGGCAAGGGCACGACACUAUUAGACUACAUUCUUUGCAGAAUGAGUGCUAAGGAAAAACUUGGCAAGUACUGUCAUUCCCCGGAGCAUGAGACAAGUAUUUCUCCUCUGCUCAUGCCCGAUGUUGCUUGCUCACAGAUUCUGAAAAAGCGUGUUCUCCCUCAUGGAGAGCACAUGUUGCGGUGGGGUCUGCCAAGCCACCCCUCUGUUGCCAGGCAGGGUUUCUAAAGAGGGCCUAGGGCAACGAUUGGAUGGGUGGGUUGCUGGGGUAAAUGUUAUGUUGCAAUUUGGGCGGGAGGGGUCAAAUGUUUUAAAUACUCUGCACCCAGCCUGGAGCUUUCUCUUUGCUGCAUGCACUGGAUCACCCACCCACCCACCCUAAAUUAAGGUUUCUUUUGCGUUGACCUUGCUAUUCUUGUCAUGGGGUCGUCUGCCGUUGGGGCAGGGGCCUGGUAGGAAUUUUGUCCAUUUGGCUGAUUAUUGUGUGCCACUUGUUUUUUUGCCUACUGCGUAGCAAAUCGUCACAACUUGUAAGGUUUGCAGUUAGACAUUGGUCUUGGAAUUGGUUGGAGGAGGGGUUAGGAUAGGCUGGGCCUGCCCCUCCGUGGUUGCUGUGGAAAGGGAAUUCCGUUAAAGGAAUCCAGGGGCUUGCCAUCUUUUCGUCUGAAUCCCUGGAAUGGGGCUAGGGCCGGCAAGCCUCGGGGAGCAUGCGGGGAGAGGUGAUGGCCUGUGACUCAGCUCCAUUUUCUCCCCGAUAUUGUUUUCCCUUACUGGCUUUCGGUGGUGCCCGGAAGUCAGUUCUGUCCCCAGGCGGGGAGACAGAUAGUCUUAACCAAUGCCUAAACAACCACUCACGUUUAUGUAUUUCAAUAAAGUUGUGGCCAAAAUUAUGCCAAAAACCUUAAACAAAAAUUAUGUGUGUGUUGUGAGUUAUUUGGGGGGUGGCUUGGGGACCUCGACAUGCAAAGCUCUGUAGCUAUGAGCAAUUAAGCAGGCUGGAAUGGAGGGAUGGAGUGGCAAAAUUAGCAAACAGAGUGGACAUUGCAGUCUCAGCUAUAUCCACUCACUGAGUUCCCUAGGAUUGUCAUCAAGGUUGAUGCUUACAGAAUUGCAGCGAAGGGGGAGAAAUCUCAUUUCGUGACUAAAUAUAUAAGAGGGAGAAAUCUGCACCUCACGACUGAACACAUUUAGCACCAUCCAGAGCUAGUUAAGCAUCUUCAUUAUUUCAGUGGGUCUGGUUAUGCUUUGAACUGUGUGCUUAAGGAUUGCUGAUAAAGAACCAUAGAUGAUUUCUUACUUUUUACAAUCUUUUGCAGCCUGGAACUGGACAGUAUGUGGCUUGAGUGUACGCCUGUCGCUUUGCCACACUCCCUUGUGGUCCUCAGACAGAGGUCCUCAGUUGGAGUUGCUGCUUGAAGACAUCAGGAAAAACCUGAUUAGGCUGCCUAAAUAUUUCUGGUACCAUAGACACCACAUUAUUUCUUUUUCUAAUACUGCAUUUUAACAAGAUUGUAUUGUGUAGUUCUUUUGUAAAGUGGGCUAUAAAGUUGUCCAGAUAAAUAGAUGCACAAAUAAUUAUGCCUACUCUUAUUUAUUCCUCCCUAUACUUCUAUUUUCUACUUACAUUAUCAACAGCAUUUAAUGUACUGUACACAUGUAUUUGGGGAUGCGGGUGGUGCUGUGGGUUAAACCACAGAGCCUAGCACUUGCCGAUCAGAAGGUCGGCGGUUUGAAUCCCCGCGACGGGGUGAGCUCCCGUUGAUCGGUCCCAGCUCCUGCCAACCUAGCAGUUCAAAAGCACAUCAAAGUGCAAGUAGAUAAAUAGGUACCUUCCCGGCGGGAAGGUAAACGGCGUUUCCAUGCACUGCUCUGGUUCACCAGAAGCGGCUUAGUCAUGCUGGCCACAUGACCUGGAAGCUGUACGCCGGCUCCCUUGGCCAGUAAAGCGAGAUGAGCGCCACAACCCCAGAGUCGGCCACGACCGGACCUAAUGGUCAGGGGUCCCUUUACCUUUACACAUGUAUUUAUAAAACCAUUUACAAAUAAUGGGGGGGGGGGGAGAAAGAGAACUGGGUACAACCCAGCCAGACUUCAGCACAUUCCAGUCCCAUGACAUCAGUGGAAGAGUUAAGCACAUGCAUAAAUCUGUUCUACUGAAGUUAAUUGAUUGAAAAGUACUGGACCUUGUCUGGGUUAUGUCCAUUAUAAAUGUAUUAACACGAUAAUCGGGGGUCCAUAGAUUUGAGCAGGUAUUCAUAUAGACAAGCAAAAUUUGUGGUUGGUCACCAGGUCCCUACCAACAAGGUAUUUUCUCUAAAGUCAUGCUGAGUUCUGGAGGCACUCUGAACACCCCAAAAGUGCAGUGCAACAUCAAGGACAAUCAUUCAACCACCACGCUAACUGCAAACACUGGAGGAAAGCUAGGACACAUGCUGAACUUCUGAAGUGCCAAAAGUGUGUGGCGAUGUCUUCCUCCACUCAUUUUGCAUAAUCUUCUGGUUUAAACAUGCAUAGUGAAGAGUCAACGAAGCUGAUGAAUAUCAGAUUGGAUUGUGUUUGCAGCAAUACCAAACUCCUUACUGGAGAGACUGUCGUGUUCAUAGCAGUGAACGCCUUCUCGCAGUCUGCUGUUUAUGUGAUCCAAGUAUUAAAAGCUGCUUCAACUGGCUGAAAAUUCUUUGGUAUUUUGUCACAGUUCAUUCUCAGCCUAUAUCCUUAAAAAAGAAUCUAUAAUGAAAUGCCCACU